UAGUUAACUAAGUCGCAUAAAUAUGCGUCUAUCAAAUUCCCCCACACUUAGCUUUUGCUAGUCCUCGAGCAAAACAAAGAAACAAAACAUAAGAACAAAAACAAAACCUAAACCUUCCAACAAUUACCUUAGGGAUUUUCAAUGCAACAUGACAUGCAAAAGAUCAUCAUAACCACAGAUUUUUGCCUUCCCUACCCUUGAGCACAUACUUAAUCAAAGUCACCACAUACUAGUUCACAUAUAACCAAUUAAAACGAUGUUUUGAAUGUAGUAACAUGCCUUAGAGAAUUUGCUCCAUUCCUUACAAGAUACACUCUUAUUUUCACUCUGAUUUUCUGACUAUUUACCCUACACUAGAUGUAUGUGAGAAGAUUGAUGUAAACAUGAAAACGAACACUCACAUAUGUUUAUAGCAAAGAAAGCAAUUUCUGG
rnacentral:lncRNA from 1 species